CAGGACCCCUGGAAGAGCAGCCAGUGCUCUUAACCUCUGAGCCAUCCCUCCAGACCUCCGAGGGUCUGCUCCAGGCAAGUGUCUGUGCUGUGUGGGAGACAGGCUGGAGACUUGUCUCAGGAUCACUGUGCUUCCCUGGCCCUGUACACGACAAAGAUCUUUUCGCAUCACUGAAAUGUCUGGCUAUUUCCACAAACUUCCUCCCUGACAAUGAAUCAAGCAGGAGAUCUGAAGAGCUUGUGCUGGAGGCACAGCCCCCAGCCAGGCAGGGAGAAUUUGGGAGGAGGGUCCCUUAAAGGCUAGCCCUCUCUUGCUGGGCUGAGGUUGCUGUGUACCAAACAUGGGGAGGGCCAGACCUCAGCUGCUGCAAGAGCCUAGGCCCAAGAAAUGGCUGCCGCCCUUUUCCACAAAUGCAGUGUAUUUUCCGUGGCUGUCUCUAGACCAGGACCAUCUCAACUCCCACAAGAUUCCUGACAUUCUCUGCAUGCAGCUCCCGGACGGCUUCACUCUCCAAGGAUGGGACAACUCCAACUCCAGGGCAGAGUUCUGGGAUUUGUGCAUCUGGCAUAAAUUCCAAGAAGUAAACACCCUCCCGGCCCUGUCCAAGUCUUGAGGAUUUCCUGUUGUCUGAGUUACUCUGUAGAAAGGGUUCACAUCUGCACUUCAUCAGCUUACAGGCGCCUGGAUGAGAAGCAGAUGUGGUCACAGAGGGGGCUCUGCCACGGGCCUAGUUUCUGGGAGGACUUAUGCUCUGCUGGACAUGUACUGAGUGAACAAUUAGGGAACCAGAAGGCAGAUCUACACUUGUGAUGUUCCCUACUUUGUGAGUGUGUGUAUAUGCGCGUGUGCACACACAGUAACCGUGCAAGGAGUGAGAGGCUGAUGAGCAUGUAACUACAGUAACAAUCUUCCAGCUAAGUUUGGGGUCCUCUGGGUUGGAGAAUUCUUACCAGCCACACAGGAUCCUAAAAUCCUCUGAGGACAGCGAAUAUCAAGACAGGGCCCUCCUGACUCCACCUCUCCCCUGCCUACCCUCCCACAAAGACAGGCAGGCUUCCUUCUCACCCAGCUCAGGAAAGGAAAAACACAACUAGUCCAAGGGCCCCAUCUGAGAUGAUCCGACACGUCCUUGAGGCCUUCAGUACCAGCUACAGAAGGUUGAGGUAGAAGGAUCAGGUCAGUUUGGAACUCUUAAAACAGCUUCCUUGGCUUGAAACUUCAUGUUUGGUUCUCACUGGAAAUUAGCCAUUUAAUAAAUACCUAAGAUAACUGGCUUAA